UACGGGGGGAGCAAACGUUGUUCGGAAUCACUGGGCGUAAAGGGCGUGUAGGCGGCUGGAUAAGUGGGAUGUUAAAUCCCCCGGCUCAACCGGGGACCUGCAUCUCAUACUGUUCAGCUCGAGCACAUCAGAGGAGACUGGAAUUCCUGGUGUAGCGGUGAAAUGCGCAGAUAUCAGGAAGAACACCCGUGGCGAAAGCGGCUCUCUGGGACGGUACUGACGCUGAGACGCGAAAGCGUGGGGAGCGAACAGG
rnacentral:rRNA from 1 species